GGUUUGGUAGUUCAGUUGGUGGAACGUCUGUUUAACACGCAGAAGGUUGUCGGUUCAAGUCCGGCCAGAUCA
rnacentral:tRNA from 1 species